GUGAGCAACCUGCCCUCCACUUCGGGAUAAGCCUUGGAAACGGGGUCUAAUACCGGAUAUGAGCACUCAUCGCAUGGUGGGUGUUGGAAAGUUUUUCGGUGGGGGAUGGGCUCGCGGCCUAUCAGCUUGUUGGUGGGGUGAUGGCCUACCAAGGCGUCGACGGGUAGCCGGCCUGAGAGGGCGACCGGCCACACUGGGACUGAGACACGGCCCAGACUCCUACGGGAGGCAGCAGUGGGGAAUAUUGCACAAUGGGCGCAAGCCUGAUGCAGCGACGCCGCGUGAGGGAUGACGGCCUUCGGGUUGUAAACCUCUUUCAGCAGGGAAGAAGCGCAAGUGACGGUACCUGCAGAAGAAGCGCCGGCUAACUACGUGCCAGCAGCCGCGGUAAUACGUAGGGCGCAAGCGUUGUCCGGAAUUAUUGGGCGUAAAGAGCUCGUAGGCGGUCUGUCGCGUCUGGUGUGAAAUCCCGAGGCUCAACCUCGGGCUUGCAUCGGGUACGGGCAGACUAGAGUGCGGUAGGGGAGACUGGAAUUCCUGGUGUAGCGGUGGAAUGCGCAGAUAUCAGGAGGAACACCGAUGGCGAAGGCAGGUCUCUGGGCCGCAACUGACGCUGAGGAGCGAAAGCAUGGGGAGCGAACAGGAUUAGAUACCCUGGUAGUCCAUGCCGUAAACGUUGGGCACUAGGUGUGGGGCUCAUUCCACGAGUUCCGUGCCGCAGCUAACGCAUUAAGUGCCCCGCCUGGGGAGUACGGCCGCAAGGCUAAAACUCAAAGGAAUUGACGGGGGCCCGCACAAGCGGCGGAGCAUGCGGAUUAAUUCGAUGCAACGCGAAGAACCUUACCAAGGCUUGACAUGUACGAGAACACGCUAGAGAUAGCGGACUCUUUGGACACUCGUAUACAGGUGGUGCAUGGUUGUCGUCAGCUCGUGUCGUGAGAUGUUGGGUUAAGUCCCGCAACGAGCGCAACCCUCGUCCUAUGUUGCCAGCGGGUUAUGCCGGGGACUCAUGGGAGACUGCCGGGGUCAACUCGGAGGAAGGUGGGGAUGACGUCAAAUCAUCAUGCCCCUUAUGUCUUGGGCUUCACGCAUGCUACAAUGGCCGGU
rnacentral:rRNA from 1 species